GCGGAAAUGAGUUUUAUGUUUUAAAAAAAAACAAGGAUGCUGUCCACUUUCACCUUCCAUGUUUUAAGCAAUAGGUGUUUCUUUUUUCUUGCUUUUUUUUCAUUUGAUUUGAUUUUAUUGAUUAGCAUUCAAAUAUCUCAGUGAAGACAGAACAAAGAUCUACCACAAAGCAAGAAAGCAUGAGACAAGGCUAAUCAAAAGGUAUUGGCUGAAGCAUUUGCUUAUUACACCAACCCUUUUAACAAAAGAUCUUUUUGCAUGCAGCUCCUGUACACAGGGCUCGAAGCAAAUAAUAAAACAAAGCAAAAACAAAACAAACAAAACAAACAAACAAACAAACAAGAAAAAAAAAACUUUCCACCUUAGAUAAGUAACUACAUCAAAGCAAAAGAGUCAAGAGGUUAUUUUGGGGGUUUUCUUUUUUUUUUUGCUCUUUUCAUUCUUGAUAUAUAUAUUUUUCUAAUACUCUAUUUUUAAACAUAUUUUUAAACAAGGAAAAUGGACUACACCUUUUUAAAUCACUGUCAUAACUAUUCCACAGGUUAACUCCUCUAACAGAAACACAUCUCUGCUUUAUACUUGUCCUUAUCUUGUUUUUUGGUAAAUGCUGUAAAUGCUGCACUGAAAUGGGAGAAUCCACUUGUUAACUGUAAUGCUGAGUGUUGUAUAGUACUUUAUAUUAGAGAUGGCACGAUACCACUUUUUUAUGUCCGAUACCGAUACCGAUAUCAUAAAUUUGGAUAUCUGCCGAUACCGAUAUGAAUCCGAUAUAGUGUUUUUUAAUCAACAAAACUGUUUUUUUAAAAAUAUCUUGCUGCAUUUUGUAUAAGUUCAUACUCAAGUUUAAAACAACAACUACACUAAAGCUAUUCUGUUAUACCUAUAUGCAAAAAAAAAAAAAAAUUUCAUAGUUCAGCAAUACUGAUCAAUCUAAUAAACUUAAACCUACACCAUCCUCCCUAUUCUGGUAUUUUAAAGAGUACUUAGCGUAAAUAUUAAGCAACCUAACUAAUAGGGUUCCAACUCCCAGCAACAACAAAAAUAAAUAAAAAAUAGGGAACCACCCCUCACACUCCACCUCAUGAUGCUUAAUCAACGUAAUCAACCUUAAUUUGAUGCAGUGUGAAAAAAAAAUGCACAGAAAUCAAUUAUUUUUCAAGAAAUAUUAAAUAGAUUCAACAUCUUUCUUCAACAAAAUUGCAGACUGCACAGAUGGUACCUUCUCAAAGGAAAAAGUACUAUAGCUUACUAGGGUAUAUAUAUUAGACUUAAUAGUCACUAUAUACAGUAAUUGACUUCUAUUCAUUUUACAUCAAAUUAAAACUUUGGGUGUAAGAUUCGGAUAAUUAUUUAUUAAAAGCUCGACAUUUUAAAUGAGAAUAAGAAAGAAAAGUAUGUCUUUGUGCCCCCUUUUCCCUGUUAAUGCCCUAUCGGCCCCCCUGGCUAAACUUUGCUAGAUCCGCCCCUGCACAGUUACCAGCCGUCAGCUACGUAGAAAAAGAUCCUCGAGUAGAAAGUAAUAAUAAAUAAAUUCUAACAACAGCUGAUCAAGCUUAAACGUGCUGCUGUUGUUCAGCCGCUGGUUUCCUCUUUCUGGUGCAAAGUGGGCCAAAAACAAACCAGAGACACGGACUCGCGACAGAAAAGCCGAUCAGCUGAUCAUUAAGCAGUUUCAUGAUUGAAGUAGCAGCCCGAGAGCGAGAGGCAGUCGCUUGUUAAGCUUAACGCAGGAAUGCUUUACAAACAUUCAGAGAUGGACUUACACACUUGCUUUACUUCUCUCGGGGAUAACUUUGUCGGAGAUGAAAUGCCGGGUUGCUAGCGAAGCUCCACAUGCUAUCCAGACCACAGGUCCCGCAUGCCACAGCCGCUCUAUCACGUGAUGCAUACUGCUCCGACGUGCUAACGUUCUGAGGUGAGUUACGGCGUGUUGCAAGUUUUGUGAGGUGCUUUCGUGAUAUUUAAUGGAUCGGAUUACAUUUUUUAUUUUUCUCCGAUAUCCGAUCCAGUAAUUUAGGUCAGUAUCGGACCGAUACCGAUACGUAAUAUCGGAUCGGUCCAUCUCUACUUUAUGUA
ensembl:lncRNA